GUACACUCCUACGGGAGGCAGCAGUGGGGAAUUUUGGACAAUGGGCGAAAGCCUGAUCCAGCAAUGCCGCGUGCAGGAUGAAGGCCUUCGGGUUGUAAACUGCUUUUGUACGGAACGAAAAAGCUCCUUCUAAUACAGGGGGCCCAUGACGGUACCGUAAGAAUAAGCACCGGCUAACUACGUGCCAGCAGCCGCGGUAAUACGUAGGGUGCGAGCGUUAAUCGGAAUUACUGGGCGUAAAGCGUGCGCAGGCGGUUAUGUAAGACAGAUGUGAAAUCCCCGGGCUCAACCUGGGAACUGCAUUUGUGACUGCAUGGCUAGAGUACGGUAGAGGGGGAUGGAAUUCCGCGUGUAGCAGUGAAAUGCGUAGAUAUGCGGAGGAACACCGAUGGCGAAGGCAAUCCCCUGGACCUGUACUGACGCUCAUGCACGAAAGCGUGGGGAGCAAACAGGAUUAGAUACCCCAGUAGUCCCAUGA
rnacentral:rRNA from 1 species